rnacentral:sRNA from 2 species
CGUGUUGUCAUUGGGGAGUAGCCGCCUUCGCCUUCGCGAAGGGAUCACGUCAACAUAAUUGGAGCGCCGCUCCAUGGUGUGAUCACCGAAGUUGCAAACUUCGUCAGGCGAGACCUUUGGC